rnacentral:rRNA from 1 species
ACAAGCGGUGGAGCAUGUGGUUUAAUUCGAUGAUACGCGAAGGAACCUUACCUGGGCUCAAAUGUAUGUUGACGUAUUCUGAAAGGGAUACUUCUUCGGACAAUAUACAAGGUGCUGCAUGGUUGUCGUCAGCUCGUGCCGUGAGGUGUCGGGUUAAGUCCCAUAACGAGCGCAACCCCUACCUUUAGUUGCCAUCAGGUUAAGCUGGGGACUCUAAAGGAACUGCCUACGCAAGUAGUGAGGAAGGCGGGGAUGACGUCAAAUCAGCACGGCCCUUACGUCCAGGGCUACACACGUGCUACAAUGGCCGAUACAGAGGGCAGCUACCUGGUGACAGGAUGCAAAUCUCCAAAGUCGGUCUCAGUUCGGAUCGGAGUCUGCAACCCGACUCCGUGAAGUUGGAUUCGCUAGUAAUCGCGCAUCAGCCAUGGCGCGGUGAAUACGUUCCCGGGCCUU